rnacentral:lncRNA from 1 species
UUGGGUACUCUCAAUUUUACGGGUACCCUACCCGUUUACAUCCCUAUCCACCCACCUGGUUAUCUAAAUAAAAAUUUCCAUCCCUAUCCACCCACCUGGUUAUCUAAAUAAAAAUCUCCAUCACCAGAGGUGGAGUUGAAGUUUGAAAACCCAGCUGGGAAUAGUUCCACUCCACGUCCCCUCCUGCUUCAUGUGCAAACAUUGAUUAUUAUCUGGUUGUGAUCAUGAUCGAGGUGUCCCCGAUCACAUCCUUUUGUUAUUCCAAAAUCAAGUACCACCUUAGGACCCUGCAAGAAUUAGACAACCCAUAUCAUCAGCAGCAUCAAACACUUAACAAUAAUAAUUAACAGUU